CAGUCGCCACGGGAAUACAGAGGGUGCGAGCGUUAAUCGGAUUUACUGGGCGUAAAGCGUGCGUAGGCGGCUUCUUAAGUCGGAUGUGAAAUCCCUGAGCUUAACUUAGGAAUUGCAUUCGAUACUGGGAAGCUAGAGUAUGGGAGAGGAUGGUAGAAUUCCAGGUGUAGCGGUGAAAUGCGUAGAGAUCUGGAGGAAUACCGAUGGCGAAGGCAGCCAUCUGGCCUAAUACUGACGCUGAGGUACGAAAGCAUGGGGAGCAAACAGGAUUAGAUACCCCCGUAGUCCCUGUCUCUUAUAC
rnacentral:rRNA from 1 species